rnacentral:rRNA from 1 species
GAUGAACGCUGGCGGCGUGCCUAAUACAUGCAAGUCGAGCGAACGGACGAGAAGCUUGCUUCUCUGAUGUUAGCGGCGGACGGGUGAGUAACACGUGGAUAACCUACCUAUAAGACUGGGAUAACUUCGGGAAACCGGAGCUAAUACCGGAUAAUAUUUUGAACCGCAUGGUUCAAAAGUAAAAGACGGUCUUGCUGUCACUUAUAGAUGGAUCCGCGCUGCAUUAGCUAGUUGGUAAGGUAACGGCUUACCAAGGCAACGAUGCAUAGCCGACCUGAGAGGGUGAUCGGCCACACUGGAACUGAGACACGGUCCAGACUCCUACGGGAGGCAGCAGUAGGGAAUCUUCCGCAAAGGGCGAAAGCCUGACGGAGCAACGCCGCGUGAGUGAUGAAGGUCUUCGGAUCGUAAAACUCUGUUAUUAGGGAAGAACAUAUGUGUAAGUAACUGUGCACAUCUUGACGGUACCUAAUAAGAAAGCCACGGCUAACUAUGUG